AGCAGCCGCGGUAAUUCCAGCUCCAAUAGCGUAUAUUAAAGUUGUUGCAGUUAAAAAGCUCGUAGUUGAAUUUCGGGGUUCUACCGUUGGUCGGGCUAUUGUUUGUACUGGCGUGUAGAAUUUCUACCUUCUGGGGAACUAUCAUGUUAUUAAUUUAGCGUGGUAGGAAACCAGGACCUUUACCUUGAAAAAAUUAGAGUGUUCAAAGCAGGCUUAUGUCUGAAUACAUUAGCAUGGAAUAAUAAAAUAGGACGGUGGUCCUGUUUUGUUGGUUUCUGAAUCACCGUAAUGAUUAAUAGGGAUAGUUGGGGGCAUUAGUAUUCAAUUGUCAGAGGUGAAAUUCUUGGAUUUAU
rnacentral:rRNA from 1 species